GUCCUUAGUUACCAGCACGUUAUGGUGGGCACUCUAAGGAGACUGCCGGUGGACAAACCGGAAGGAAGGUGGGGAGUGACGUCAAGUCAUCAUGGCCCUUACGGCCUGGGCUACACACGUGCUACAAUGGUCGGUACAAAGGGUUGCCAAGCCGCGAGGUGGAGCUAAUCCCAUAAAACCGAUCGUAGUCCGGAUCGCAGUCUGCAACUCGACUGCGUGAAGUCGGAAUCGCUAGUAAUCGUGAAUCAGAAUGUCACGGUGAAUACGUUCCCGGGCCUU
rnacentral:rRNA from 1 species